GCCUGCCCUAACCCCGUGCUCUUCGGCCCGCUCCUGUCCCCGUGCGGUGAUCCGUCUCCUCUCCACCCCUGCGAUGACCUAACCCAUAGCCCCUGCCCACCCCCUCCGCCGCCGGCGCCGGUGCCUCGAAGGUCAAGGGAAGACCCUCUACUCGGCCCCCAUCGCCGUCCGCGCCGCCGCCCUAUGCCGCCGCCACCACCGCCGUCCAAAUCGCCACCCCCAUAGCCGUCCAAACUGCUCUCGGCAACACCUCUCCAUCCCACGGCUGCCGAAGACAGGGAGGAGGACGAGGCUGGCUAGGCAGGGAGGCCGAGGGUGAAGUGCAGUGGGAGGCGCAUCGGUUAGUGCAGAGGGAGGUCUAUGGUCAGCUCAUUGGAAUCUCACAGGCCACCACGGGGAGAGCAAUCACGCAGGCACAUCAACCUCCCCCACCAGGUUUCUUACUGUGUGCGUGGAUGGGGCAUCGGAAGGAUAGAUGGCAGUACUCGUGUGGAUGCAACAACUGACUAUGUUGUGGUGUUCAGGAAGGAGCGCAGAUACAGCAGCUGUCCAUCUGCAACCGCGGCCACGGGUGCCUAAUCUAACGCGACCUCCUGUUUUGACAUCGUCCUUGGUAGCUGCAAGCGUGGAAACAACCUUGGCAGUGCAGCGGCAGCCAUGAGAUACUCAUUUUUGUCUGUAGCUACACAAUCCAACUACUCAAAGGAACAUACAGUUCUAGAAGUGAGAACUGUUGAGCUAUUAUAGUGCAGCCUUGGGAUGAUAGAUGUUCAGGCCAGCUAUGCAGACCUUAAGGUAAAUGUUUUUCCAGCUAAUUAACAUGAAAUGUCUUGUAACUUGAACUAAUAAUGAACAACUGAGGAAUGCUUCCUGAAUGAAUCCAAAAUUGUUGGAAACACCACCGUCCAGUUGGAGAGGGAGCUAUCUGGAUCUCUAUCCAACCAGGACAUGUCUGCUUACAACUUUUUGUUGAAAAAGGUUGCGAAAAAAAAUCUAAAUCUGGAGGUAGGUGAUCCCAACUCACAACUAUGGAUAGCAAAAGGAAGAUGCAGUACUUGAUGUGAAAAUUUACAGGAAUAGAUAAUCUAACUUACAAUUAAUAAGCUUAUACUAUUAUUGUUGAUGCAAUACUAAUUUUACACGUUUUUUCAGUUGUAAAUACAAUAUGAAAUAAAAAGUUAUUCACAGGACCAUGGGUGUUUGUUAGUUUGUAUAAUCACACAAAUAAAAUAAGAGUUAAUUUGUCUAUGUAUGGUUUGUAUCCUGUUAUUUGCUACAAUAUUUAGCAAGUGUGCAAGCUAUUUAUGUGAGGUUAACUACGGACCUAUAAGCGAAGGAGUUUUUCUUCUCUACACAAGUAAGGUGUAAGCCAGCGAUCUUGGUUAUAUAGUUGACUUAAAUCCUGAAGGGACGAGCCUGCAUCUUUUCUUUCUGAUUUGAAAUGUAUUCAAAAUUCUUAUGCCCUGGUGUGCUCUAAUUCUUGGUAGUAUGUUCUCACAUGAACAGUCAUUUGAACAUUCAUCUAACUUUCUGCUUAAUAAAUUUGUAGCUGAGAUGAUGUAGCCGAAGGCACACUUCGGUAUUGUUUUAUUUCAGUCUUCCCUUAUCCUUUUUGUCUAAGAGAUAUUUCCCAGCAUGUCUGUCCAAACAUAUAUUACAGUUAUUACUAAGAAGGCUAUCCUCUUUUCUAUUUCAGCUCAAAGAUGGAUCGACCUGCGCAUUGUUGGGAUCUGUUUUAAUUGAAGUACUUCCUUCUACAGAAACAACUGGUACACAAGGAGCGUGUUUCCUUCUACAGAGGUAGCUGGUGCACAUGGAUGUAGUGAAACACGGUCAGAAACACUUGAGAUAUUAGCCGCAUAUAUUGAGAUAUUUCUCCUUUUAUUCUGGGUCCUGUAUCCUAAAAUAAGUAGCCAACUCAUUUAUACAUGGUGGUCAGGGCAAUGUGUAACGUCUACCUUUGGUAUUGUAUUAUUUUGUUCAAUGCAAUUCAUCAAAAUGACAAUGCAACAA